AAACUUUCAACAACGGAUCUCUUGGUUCUGGCAUCGAUGAAGAACGCAGCGAAAUGCGAUAAGUAAUGUGAAUUGCAGA
rnacentral:rRNA from 1 species